UCUCCCUGGAGAGAAGGAGACCUGUUUUUCCAAAACGAAGCAUGGUAAUGUUUAACAGAAUCAAUGUUUUUUAUGUUUGUGCACUCCUAUGUAUUUAUACAUUCUACAAAAGUUUUUCUAUUGCCAGGCAUCCUCUCCCCUCUGUUCAAGAUAGGGAAUGUUUUUUUUUUUCAAUUGGUGGCAGUGUUUUACCUUCAGAUAUAUGCUGAUUACUGAUGCACAGCUUAGUAGAUCAUACUGGUUGCAGGAGCACAAAUUUGGCUAUUAAUUGAUCUCAUAAGUAGGUAACGCUGAAGCCAUUACCUGAUUUAAAAGCUGUUAAUAUUGUUUUUUCUUUCACUUGAUCAUAACAUUUUAUUCUUUAAAUCUGAAUAAAUUUCCUUAAAGCAGGGGGGCGGGGCCUGGCUGCAGAGCUGUGAGGAAGCUCACCACAGCAGCUCCUGCUAAACUCGGCACUUAAUGCUAAAUUUCACCGUUACACAGGCAUUUAAUUGUGAAUUUAAAGCUACCACUCGAGAGUAGACAUCGAGGGGAAGAAAACGAUACCUCUCCAGCGACGAACCGAGCACAACUCACAAUGAGGCCUACAAGCAUGGCGGGCGCAGGGGAGACGGCCGCUCCCCAGCUGCAAUGCCAUGCCCAAAAUCUGGCUGCAAGCCCUCGUUCCCCCCCCUCUGGACCGGUGGGGGUUAUCCCGGUCUACCCCCAACUGACUCCCUGGCAAAGCAAUGGGCCAGAAUCGGCUCCGUGGAGCCCAAAACUAAC